CCGCAGGCUUGCGGGGAAACUUCCUUAUUAUUGUGACGCCGAAAUUGGAGAAACCCUGAGCCGGGUCGUGGAGCCGUCACCGUCGGAAUCCCGCGCGGCGGUUCAGCGGCCGCCGAGAUCUGCAGUGUGAGGUGGAACCAUUCUGGCUUAAGUACAGAUGCCAAGUGUGUGUGACCUGUGCAUUGAACUCACAGCCAACCGCACUGGAACUCACGCAUGAACGAAGCUCAUCUAUCACAGCUCUCUUCUAGGCUACAUGACUCCCUGAAGGACAAGAACGAUGUUAUGUUGGGGAUAUUGGUCUCUGGGCCAACCUGGGAUGAGCACUAACCUGCAAGGGAUUGUGGCCGAGCCACAGGUGUGUGGAUUUGUAUCCGACAGAAGCGUCAAGGAAGUGGCCUGCGGAGGAAGCCACUCCGUGUUCCUGCUGGAGGAUGGGGAAGUUUACACGUGCGGUUUGAACACCAAGGGGCAGCUGGGCCAUGCGAGGGAAGGAAACAAGCCAGAGCAAAUUGGAGCUCUGGCAGAUCAGCAUAUUGUCCACGUGGCGUGUGGUGAGUCCCACAGUCUGGCCCUCAGUGACCGGGGCCAGCUGUUUUCUUGGGGCGCAGGGAGCGAUGGUCAACUAGGACUCAUGACUACCGAGGACUCUGUGGCAGUACCCAGGUUAAUACAGAAGCUGAACCAGCAGACGAUAUUGCAAGUUUCCUGUGGCAACUGGCACUGCUUGGCUCUUGCAGCUGAUGGCCAGUUCUUCACGUGGGGGAAGAACAGCCAUGGGCAGCUGGGCCUGGGGAAGGAGUGCCCCUCCCAAGCCAGCCCGCAGAGGGUGAGGUCCCUGGAGGGGAUCCCACUGGCGCAGGUGACUGCAGGAGGGGCCCACAGCUUUGCCCUGUCUCUCUCGGGAGCCGUAUUCGGCUGGGGGAUGAAUAACGCGGGGCAGCUCGGGCUCAGUGAUGAGAAAGAUCGAGAGUCUCCUUGCCACGUGAAGCUCCUACGAACACAGAAAGUCGUCUAUAUCAGCUGCGGAGAAGAGCACACAGCAGUGCUCACUAAAAGUGGAGGUGUGUUUACCUUUGGUGCUGGUUCCUGUGGGCAACUUGGACAUGAUUCCAUGAAUGAUGAGGUUAAUCCAAGAAGAGUUCUGGAGCUGAUGGGCAGUGAAGUCACUCAGAUUGCCUGUGGCAGACAACACACCCUAGCCUUUGUGCCUUCUUCUGGACUCAUCUAUGCAUUUGGUUGUGGAGAAAGAGGUCAGUUAGGAACUGGACACACUUGUAAUGUCAAGUGCCCGUCUCCUGUGAAAGGUUGCUGGGCCGCCCAUAGCGGCCAGCUUUCAGCCAGAGCUGAUCGCUUUAAAUAUCAUAUUGUUAAGCAGAUCUUCUCUGGAGGAGACCAGACUUUUGUACUUUGCUCCAAAUAUGAGAAUUCUUCUCCGGCCGUCGACUUCAGGAUGAUGAACCAAGCACAUUACACCAGUUUAAUCAAUGAUGAAACCAUAGCAGUUUGGAGACAGAAACUCUCAGAACACAACAAUGCAAAUACAAUCAACGGUGUCAUUCAGAUAUUAUCUUCUGCAGCCUGCUGGAAUGGAAGUUUUCUUGAGAAAAAAAUUGAUGAGCAUUUUAAAACAAGUCCCAAAAUCCCUGGAAUUGACCUGAACUCAACUAGAGUGUUGUUUGAGAAGUUAAUGAACUCUCAGCACUCCAUGAUUCUAGAACAGAUCUUAAAUAGCUUUGAAAGUUGCCUGAUUCCUCAGUUGUCAAGUUCACCACCAGACGUUGAAGCAAUGAGAAUCUACUUAAUACUACCGGAGUUUCCCCUGCUCCAGGAUUCUAAGUAUUACAUAACGUUGACUAUUCCCCUGGCUAUGGCCAUUCUGCGGCUGGAUACAAACCCCAGCAAAGUCUUAGAUAACUGGUGGUCUCAGGUAUGCCCGAAAUAUUUCACGAAGCUGGUAAACCUCUAUAAAGGUGCAGUCGUUUAUCUACUGAGAGGAAGAAAGACAUUCUUAAUUCCUGUACUGUUUAACAAUUAUGUUACAGCAGCGCUCAAGCUCCUGGAGAAGUUAUACAAGGUAAAUCUUAAAGUGAAGCAUGUGGAAUAUGAUACAUUUUAUAUUCCUGAGGUUUCCAGUCUUGUGGACAUUCAGGAAGACUACCUCAUGUGGUUCUUACAUCAAGCAGGCAUGAAGGCUAGACCAUCUAUAAUGCAGGAUGCUGUAACACUUUGUUCCUACCCUUUCAUCUUUGACGCCCAAGCCAAGACCAAGAUGUUACAGACCGAUGCUGAACUGCAGAUGCAGGUGGCGGUCAACGGGGCCAACCUGCAGAACGUCUUCAUGCUUCUCACCUUGGAGCCUCUGCUGGCCAGAAGCCCCUUCCUGGUCCUUCAUGUUCGUAGGAGCAGCCUUGUUGGAGAUGCCCUGAGAGAGCUGAGCAUUCAUUCUGAUAUUGAUCUGAAAAAGCCUCUCAGAGUCAUUUUUGAUGGUGAAGAAGCAGUGGAUGCUGGUGGUGUCACAAAGGAGUUCUUUCUUUUACUAUUGAAAGAAUUGUUGAAUCCCAUCUAUGGAAUGUUUACCUACUAUCAGGAUUCAAAUCUCUUGUGGUUUUCAGAUACGUGUUUUGUAGAGCACAACUGGUUUCACUUGAUUGGCAUAACCUGUGGACUCGCCAUCUACAACUCCACCGUGGUGGACCUGCACUUCCCGCUGGCUCUCUAUAAGAAGCUACUGAACGUGAAGCCUGGCCUGGAAGACUUGAAGGAGCUGUCACCCACGGAAGGAAGGAGUCUUCAAGAACUUUUAGAUUACCCUGGGGAAGAUAUUGAGGAGACUUUCUGCCUCAACUUCACGAUUUGUCGAGAAAGCUAUGGCGUGAUUGAACAGAAGAAGCUGAUACCUGGGGGAGACAGAGUGGCUGUGUGCAAGGAGAACAGGCAGGACUUUGUGGAUGCUUACGUGAAUUAUGUCUUCCAAAUCUCAGUUCAUGAAUGGUACACAGCUUUCUCCAGCGGCUUCCUAAAGGUGUGUGGUGGCAAAGUGCUUGAGCUCUUCCAGCCUUCGGAACUGAGGGCCAUGAUGGUGGGGAACAGCAACUACAACUGGGAGGCCCUGGAGGAGACUGCCAUCUACAAGGGUGAUUACUCAGCCACACAUCCCACUGUGAAACUAUUUUGGGAAACGUUUCAUGAGUUCCCACUGGAAAAGAAGAAGAAGUUUCUCUUGUUCCUGACAGGCAGCGAUCGCAUCCCCAUCUACGGCAUGGCCAGCCUGCAGAUUGUCAUCCAGUCCACAGCCAGCGGGGAGGAGUACUUGCCCGUGGCCCACACUUGCUACAACCUUCUCGACCUCCCCAAGUACAGCAGCAAAGAGGUCCUGUGUGCACGGCUGACCCAGGCCCUUGACAACUACGAGGGGUUCAGCUUGGCCUGAGGCUCCCCAGCUUGCCCCCGAUUCCCCUUCCUUCCUCCACAUCCACAGUGAGGCCCAUACAGAAAACCAUGGGGAGUGAGUUCUGGUUUUUUUUUUAAUUGUAUAAGUGGGUUGGAACUUUUGAAUCCUGAACCCGAUUGACGCAUUUCUGGGGUGGUAAGCAGGGACCUUUUUGAAAAAUCAGGGGUUAGGGAUGGGGUGAAAAACUGGCCCUUGUCUGAGAAGCGAUUUUGUUUCUAAACGCAGUUCUCCAUUGUUCCUUGCACUUGUGACUACGCUGUACUCUGCUGGAUAAAAGGGCAGUGGAUUUUUAAACUCGCAUUCCCCAGAUGUCUCUCUCAGCCCUGACCUUUCCUCAUGACGCUUCCUUGUCUUCCUAACUUCUCAUUCCUCUGCAAGAAUGAUUUGACUGACCUGUCCUUUCUCACCUGCACGUGCAGAACAUCUCCUUUCUCUGCAGCCUUGGAAAUGCUCCUGGCUUGUUGCCGUCCAACCCUAAGGACUAAGAAGGAGAGGAUUACUUCAGAAAUUCCCAAGCCCAACAAGCUGAAUCCGGGUCCAUGACUUUGGCGGAACUCUUGCGAAUUUACGGGAGCCUUUCAUACACCUGCCUUUUGCCUAAAAACACAGUUCUUGAGGGACUGGCCGUCUCCCCACGGCUCUGCCUAUUCCCGGCCCUCCUCACAGGGGUGCAGAGCCGCGUAGCUUCGCAGCUGAGCCGACCUCGGUCUGCUGGCCCCGCCAAGCCCUUUUGACAACAAGAUGAGAAUGGGUAGCUUGCUUUCAGUAGAAGAAUUAAGUCAUCUACCCGAGUAAUCUAAUACAAGGUCAAACUUGCUUCCUGCCACAAGAGAGUAGAACCAACUGCUGGGAAAAUGAAGAGGAAAACAGGGUAGGGGGGAGCAUAUGGCAUUAAGGAGGGCUGGAAUUUCUGAAGCUUCUGAUGGGUGAAAAGGCAUUUCUCACGGAGGGGAAGGCCUUAGCAAGGGCUUGAACAUGGUGAAGUAUUUAAGGAAGGGCCAGGAACAAUUCGAAGGGAGCAUCAGAGGAAACAGAAUAAUGGUAAAUACGACUGGGGAGAAAGACAGUAAGUUUGGGGCUGAGGAACCAGGCUAAGCCUUGGACCUUCAAAAUGUUCAGAGCCUUGGGGUGGGGGAAGGAGGCAGUGAUAUGAGUUGAGCCUGGUUUUAAGGAAAUGCGGAUAAGGGUACUUGUGUUGGAAUGGCGUGGGAAGGACAGCAGCUGAGAGCAGUGGGGGGGGGGGCAGCAGUGGAAAGAGAAGAGCUGUGCGCAGGAGGGACGGGAGGAGGGGAGGCGAUGGGAGCCUUCAGGGAAAAGGAGGAAUUAAAGGUGAAUCUAAGACUUAGUAAUCUAAUGGCUGAUGCUAAUUAGCCCACUUAUACACAGCAAAAAAUAUUUUCAAUAAGUUUUAAAAAUUACCAUGUACUGUUUUUACCAGACUUAAUAGACGGUUUAAAAGUGGUAAAGAGAACAGUAACUUUCCAUUAAUAAGUUCCAUUCAACAAACACUUAAGAGCAUACACAAGUGCUCAGUUUGCAGGACAAAAAAAGCCUGUUACCUUUAAUUUUGAAUGAAAAUAGCCAAGGUAUUUUAAAUUUGAGGGGGGGGGGUCCUUCAGAAUCCUCAUGCAUGGAAUACGGAGAUUGGACCAGAUGAUUCCUAAGGUCACUGAGCUCUAAAACUACUGUACAUAGAGAUGCUCAAUAAAUUCCUCUAAAAGUUUCUUGCAUGAAUGAAAUUCUGUGCUGCUUUUCUAAAAACGAUUUUUCUGGCAUAUUCUCCUCUUUUUUCCUUUAUCACUAUUGCUUUAGAAGACUCUUUAGGUAGGCAUUUCUAGAUUUACCUGCCUACCUACCUACCUUCCCUCACCUGCUGACAGACAUUUGGAAGUUUCCUCAGUUUUCAGAAAUGUACCUAUUUAAUGAAAAAAAAUCUCAUUAAAAUAAGGCCACUUGUGUUGGGUGGGGUUUAAUGAAAGUGUAACCAGGCGAUUUAGCCAGUUGUGAUAGCUCCCGCUCCGCCUGAAAGCUUCUUGACCAGAAAGCUUCUCUAUUAAUAACCCUGGAGAGCCAGGGUUGGCAGCUACAGCCUGUGAGCUAAAAUGGGUUUUACAUUUUUAAAAGGGUCUGGUCUAUAAAGCCUAACAAACCAUGUUAACAUCUGGCCCUUUACAGAAAAAGACUUGCCCCAACCCUUUGAGACCAGACUUGCAGGAAUCACAGUAACAGAGUUGAUAACUUACUUACUGAAGUGUCGGGAGGAACUCGGUCAUAGCUGACGUUGAACUAGAGAGACAUGUCUGGGCCUUUCUGCCGCAGGGGUAAGCAAAGCAAGCUUUGUCUAAGAUUAACCCACAGAAACAGGCACCAAGGUUUCGAGUGUGGUGACUACCAGGUAUUGACGGUGGCCAGACCCCGCACCAAGCAUUACCUACGCACUAUUCAGUUUUCAUUGCUACCACUGCCCUCCUGGCUCGACCGUUCACUAGCUGCGUGGCCUUGGGCCACACAGCUAACCUCUCUGUAGCUCAUUUUCUUCCUAUUUAAAAUGGG